UCACGUUAACCUUGGUGCUGACAUCGGGUGUGAAGCUGUCAGCGACUUUUAACAACAUCCUCAACCUCGUCAACUUCAUCGUCUUUCUCAUCUUCUGCGGCUGCUCCAUCAUCCUCAUCCGACCGAUGCUCAUUGUGGACAAUGGCUUUUUUUCCAACCGGAAUAUCUGGGACCUUGUCCCAAAUUCCUACAGCGUACUUCGCCUUUAUCGGUUUCGACAUCGUGGCGUCGACAGGGGAGGAGGCGAUGAACCCAAGCAAAUCCAUCCCCCGGUCCAUCUGGAUCUCCGUCUUCAUCAACACCAUCGUAUACGUAGCCGUUAUAAUCUUCCUCAACCUGGCCAUACCUUUCUUUGCAAUGACGUCAAACUCAGCCAUGAUAGACGUGUUCGCAACCAGGCAGUGGACGUACGUUACGUACAUCAUCUCCACGGGCGCGGUUUGUGCCUUGUUCGCCGCCACCUUCGGCUCCCUGUUCCCCCUUCCCAGGGUCCUCUACGCCAUGGCAAAAGAUGGCCUCAUAAGCAGCCAUUUUGGAUACCUUUGUCCGACACGGAAGACCCCGAAGUUGGCGACAGCUGUGUCGGGGUGUAUUGCAGCCGUGGUCGCAGCCUCUGUGGAACUCCGCCUUCUCAUUGAGGUGGUCCUGAUAGGUACUCUCCUUGCCUACGUUUUAGUCGCAGUGUGUGUUCUAAUCACGAGGUAUUCUUUUGACGAGGACACCUUAAACCUUCCGUCCAAAGACUCACAUGACAGUCCCGAGACAACUGGCAAAGAUAAGGUGUCAGAAAUACUCCUGAACGGCUCCAAAGUUGGGCCGGAUUUAGAUGUGACGCUGUCCAAGAAACUUUGGAAACUGUUCAGCCGCGCCCCCACCCCCGGGGAAACUCUGACCAGCGGGGAACUUGCUGUGAUAUUAGUGAUAAUGCUGGGUGCAGAGACAUUAGCUAGCCUCGUUCUGGUCACAUUCGGUGACGCCAUUUUAAAAGGGAAUAUAUUUGUAUGCACGUGCCUGUCGCCUUUCAUUCUCGUCGUCCUGAUUGUGAUAGUGAUUUUGUGUCGUCUGCCGCAAAACACUCGAACUUCCGGUUUCCGCGUGCCUCUGGUUCCACUGCUUCCGGUUGCCGUCACAUUCUUCAAUGUCUACCUGAUGAUGUCAUUACGAUGGGUCACCUGGUGCAUAUUUGGUGUGUGGAUGAUCAUAGGCUUUCUUGUGUACCUGUAUUACUCCCAGCGAGAUGGAGCAUCACCGGUCUCAUCUACAGAUGAAGAUAAGCGCCCCCUACUGGAAGCCAAAGACACCAACCAAGAUGGCGAUUAAUGAGGGUCAUGUGCACAAAUUAAUAGCGCCAUAGUAACGAAUGCCUUCAAGAUGAAUGUUACAUGGCUUCAAUACCAAGUCAGUGUGGUAAACGUCAUCGUGAAUACACAUGAAGGAAAAUGUGUGAAAAUAUCCAAUUUCUGGACAUUUAAUGUUUUCAAAUUUCUUAAAAAAUAUGUGAUAAAAUUAUGCAAAUUUGGACUGUCACAGCUCUAAAGAUCCUCAUUUGACCUUUUUGUGCAAGUGGAGACAAAUAUACUGGACAAAAACAGUUAGGGAUAUAUGUAAAUUUUGAAAUUAUGAAUAAUGAUCUAUAUAUUCAUUGACAAUCUGAUAAAAUAUCAAUCAUAAAAAUACCAAUGUCCCUUACUUAUUUUGUCCAGUAUAUGUUAAGAAAUGCGAGGGAGAAGGGUGUAGAGGGGCGGGGUGUGGGGGCGAUAUAGGGGUGUAAGUUAAAACGGUCUUGUCUCAUUAUUCAGGUCAUUCGUGACCAACUCGUGUUAUUCCGGGACAAGCCGAUUGCAGGUUACGGAAAGGGGCGAGUGGUGACGAAUGUAUUCACAAACUGUUACAGCUUUUGCAAUAUCUUUGGAGUAAUUGCCUGUCCAGCGAAACCCUACCUCCACGCAGCCUACCAAACGUCUGUGUUCAAUGAAGGAGGCGAGUCGACAGAAUACUGCGUUUUCUUCGCUUUGCAUUAUUUCCACGUAGAGCACGUGCAUAUUACACAACACAGCUACGCGCGUCAUAAAAACUGAUUGACUUGUCAGUGUGCCGUCUUUGGAAAAUAUAACUGUGGCGCACGAUUGGCACUUUCUUUAAAAGAUACAGUUUCGACCCGAUAUUUGAAGCAUACUGCCCUGUACUUGGACCCUCGAGAUGAAAGGUGACUUCCAAAAUGUAGGAUCCCGAUCCAGUGUCCUUCACCUGUAGGUCUGCGGCACCUGAUACCGGUCUCAAAGAGCUGCCGAUAAGACUGGAGUUCACUGUGAAGUCCGUGUAUCGCCAUAUUGACGGCGAAGCGUGCUGGCAAUGACUCAGGUCCUCUACGCUCUCCCUCAGGGAGGUCCUGAAACAAAA
rnacentral:misc_RNA from 1 species